UAUACUGACGCUGAUGGACGAAAGCGUGGGUAGCGAACGGGAUUAGAUACCCCGGUAGUCCACGCCGUAAACGAUGGAUACUAGCUGUCGGGCCUUCGGGCUCGGCGGCCAAGCGAAAGUGAUAAGUAUCCCACCCGGGGAGUACGUUCGCAAGAAUGAAACUCAAAGGAAUUGACGGGGGCCCGCACAAGCGGUGGAGCAUGUGGUUUAAUUCGAUGAUACGCGAGGAACCUUACCAGGGCUUAAAUGCGGGCUGCAUGGGACAGAGACGUCCCUUUCUUCGGACCGCCCGCAAGGUGCUGCAUGGUUGUCGUCAGCUCGUGCCGUGAGGUGUCAGGUUAAGUCCUAUAACGAGCGCAACCCCUACCGUUAGUUGCCAGCAUGUAAAGAUGGGGACUCUAACGGGACUGCCGGUGCAAACCGUGAGGAAGGUGGGGACGACGUCAAAUCAUCACGGCCCUUACGUCCUGGGCCACACACGUGCUACAAUGGCCGGUACAGAGGGAAGCCACCCCGCAAGGGGGCGCGGAUCUACAAAGCCGGUCACAGUUCGGAUCGGGGUCUGCAACUCGACCCCGUGAAGCUGGAAUCGCUAGUAAUCGGAUAUCAGCCAUGAUCCGGUGAAUACGUUCCCGGGCCUUGUACACACCGCCCGUCAAGCCAUGGAAGCCGGGAGUGCCUGAAGUCCGUGACCGCAAGGAGCGGCCUAGGGCAAAAUCG
rnacentral:rRNA from 1 species